UACGUAGGUGGCAAGCGUUUGUCCGGAUUUAUUGGGUUUAAAGGGUGCGUAGGCGGCCCUGUAAGUCAGUGCUGAAAUAUCCCAGCUUAACUGGGAGGGUGGCAUUGAUACUGCGGGGCUAGAGUACAGAUGAGGUAGGCGGAAUUGACGGUGUAGCGGUGAAAUGCUUAGAUACCAUCCAGAACCCCGAUUGCGAAGCAGCUGCCUAGACUGUAACUGACGCUGAGGCACGAAAGCGUGGGGAGCGAACAGG
rnacentral:rRNA from 1 species